rnacentral:piRNA from 1 species
UGCUGUGCCAUGCCAACUCCCUAAUGGCAA